rnacentral:rRNA from 1 species
UACGGGGGGGGCAAGCGUUGUUCGGAAUUACUGGGCGUAAAGGGCGCGUAGGCGGCCCGUUUAGUCGGGUGUGAAAUCCCGGGGCUCAACCCCGGAACUGCAUUCGAUACUGGCGGGCUUGAGACCGGAAGAGGUGGGUGGAAUACCCAGUGUAGAGGUGAAAUUCGUAGAUAUUGGGUGGAACACCGGUGGCGAAGGCGGCUCACUGGUCCGGCUCUGACGCUGAGGCGCGAAAGCGUGGGGAGCAAACAGG